rnacentral:rRNA from 1 species
CUACGGGGCGCAGCAGGCGCGAAAACUUCACACUGCGGGAAACUGUGAUGAGGGGACUCCAAGUGGCUACACAACGUGUAGUCUUUUACUCACUCUUAAUCGGUGGGUGAAUAAGGGCUGGGAAAGACCGGUGCCAGCCGCCGCGGUAAUACCGGCAGCUCAAGUGGUCGCCACUUUUAUUGGGCCUAAAACGUUCGUAGCCGGUUCGGUCAACCCGUGGGUAAAUCAUCCCGCUCAACGGGAUGAAUUCUGCGGAGACUGCCGAACUUGGGACCGGGGAGAGGUGUGAGGUACUCUCAGGGUAGGGGUAAAAUCCUGUCAUCCUGAGGGGACCACCUGUUGCGAAGGCGUCACACUAGAACGGCUCCGACGGUCAGGAACGAAGCCUGGGGGCACAAACCGGAUUAGAUACCCUUGUAGUC